rnacentral:rRNA from 1 species
CCUACGGGAGGCAGCAGUGGGGAAUAUUGCGCAAUGGGCGAAAGCCUGACGCAGCGACGCCGCGUGAGGGAUGACGGUCUUCGGAUCGUAAACCUCUGUCAGCAGGGAAGAACGGUCACUGUGCUAUUCAGCAGUGAAUUGACGGUACCUGCAAAGGAAGCACCGGCUAACUCCGUGCCAGCAGCCGCGGGAAUACGGAGGGGGCGAGCGUUAAUCGGAAUUACUGGGCGUAAGGCGCUCGUAGGCGGGAUGUCAAGUCAAGGGUGAAAGCCCCGCGCUCAACGUGGGAACUGCCUUUGAAACUGGCAAACUGGAGUGGAUGAGAGGAGAGUGGAAUUCCAGGUGUAGGAGUGAAAUCCGUAGAUAUCUGGAGGAACAUCAGUGGCGAAGGCGACUAUCUGGCACAUAACUGACGCUGAGGAGCGAAAGCGUGGGUAGCAAACAGGAUUAGAUACCCCUGUAGUC